AACCAAUCAGUGAAACUGAUCUCCCAGUUAAAAAGCUGGGAUAAUAACAUAAGACGAGAAGACCCUGUGGAGCUUCAAACCACCCAUUAACAAGCAAGUAUAUUGCACCUAAUGUACCGUUUUAAGUUGGGGCGACUUUGGAACAAAACAAAACUUCCAAGCACAGAGCCACACACUCCAACCAAGGCCAACAAGCCAAAGUUAUAAACACAGACCCAGUAACACUGAUCAACGAACCAAGUUACCCCAGGGAUAACAGCGCCAUCUUCUUCAAGAGUCCAUAUCGACAAGAAGGUUUACGACCUCGAUGUUGGAUCAGGACACCCAAAUGGUGCAGCAGCUAUUGAUGGUUCGUUUGUUCAACGAUUAACAGUCCUACGUGAUCU
rnacentral:rRNA from 1 species